rnacentral:rRNA from 1 species
GAUGAACGCUAGCGACAGGCUUAACACAUGCAAGUCGAGGGGCAGCGAGGUGGUAGCAAUACCGCUGUCGGCGACCGGCGCACUGGUGAGUAACACGUAUGCGACCUGCCCCCUACAGGGGUAUAACCCGUAGAAAUGCGGACUAAUCCCCCAUAGUCCCGCGGGCUGCAUGGCCUGCGGGGGAAAGGCCAGCCGGUAGGGGAUGGGCAUGCGGCGCAUUAGCUAGUUGGCGGGGCAACGGCCCACCAAGGCGACGAUCAGUAGGGGUUCUGAGAGGAAGGUCCCCCCACAUUGGAACUGAGACACGGUCCAAACUCCUACGGGAGGCAGCAGUGAGGAAUAUUGGUCAAUGGACGGGAGUCUGAACCAGCCAAGUAGCGUGCAGGAUGACGGCCCUAUGGGUUGUAAACUGCUUUUAUAAGGGAAUAAAGUGGGUCACGUGUGACUUUUUGCAUGUACCUUAUGAAUAAGGACCGGCUAAUUCCGUG